ACUCCACUCCACUCCACUGGAAGCCAAGUAGCCAACAAGCAUUUCUGGUGUGGUGAUCCUAUCGUUCCUUCCUUGCUCUCCAGGAUAGAUGUGCAGAUGUAUGUAGCGUGUUCAUGUUCAUGAAGAUGUGCAGAUCUGGUGUGGGCCUGCAGCCAUAGCCACAGGAGGGAGAGGAGACAGAUGGGUGUUCAAUCUGAGCUUGUCGCACGGUUUUUAUUUGCUGCCGAAUGUGAUGGUUGUGAUGGUGGUGUGGAUCAUCAGUUCCGGGGGCCUGAUUGAUGGUUUGACUGAAGGACGGAGAUCGUGGUCGUGGAGCCUAAGGUCGUGCUGAUGGAUGGAGCCGUUGGUUGAUUACUUAGUUCUUCUUGGAAUUGUGAGUAGUAACAAACAAAUCGUAGCUUGCUUGGUGUGUUGCUUUGGUAAGAUAGAUGCAUUGGAGUAGCGAGUAGCUGGCUAGCUCUUAGAGAUGAAAAUCCUGGUAUUGAUGACAGGAGAGGGCAAAGCACACAAGUUGUAUUUAUGCUCAUGUAUAUGUGAUAUCUCGGUUAUAAUAUCAUAUAUAAUUGUUAUGAA